rfam:Loxodonta africana unplaced genomic scaffold scaffold_16, whole genome shotgun sequence.
GCAGUGGUGAUUCAGGGGUAGAAUUUUUGCCUUCUAUGCGGAAGACCUGGGUUCAAGUCCUGGCCAAUGUA